rnacentral:rRNA from 1 species
CCUACGGGAGGCAGCAGUGGGGGAUAUUGCACAAUGGGGGGAACCCUGAUGCAGCGACGCCGCGUGGGUGAAGAAGCGCCUCGGCGCGUAAAGCCCUGUCAGCAGGGAAGAAAAUGACGGUACCUGAAGAAGAAGCCCCGGCUAACUACGUGCCAGCAGCCGCGGUAAUACGUAGGGGGCAAGCGUUAUCCGGAUUUACUGGGUGUAAAGUGGGCGCAGACGGCGAUGCAAGCCAGGAGUGAAAGCCCGGGCCCAACCCCGGUACUGCUCUUGGAACUGCGUGGCUGGAGUGCAGGAGGGGCAGGCGGAAGUCCUGGUGUAGCGGUGAAAUGAGUAGAUAGCAGGAGGAACACCGGUGGCGAAGGCGGCCUGCUGGACUGCAACUGACGUUGAGGCCCGAAAGCGUGGGGAGCAAACAGGAUUAGAUACCCCAGUAGUC